rnacentral:lncRNA from 1 species
UCCUUUUUUUUCAGAUUUUAAGUAUCUUUAGAUUUUUGCUUUUAAGUAUCUUUAUAUUUUAGCUUUUAAGUAUUUUAUCUUUAUUUUCUCCUCUUUCUUCUACAGGUCCUACGGCUAUGGAGUUGGCAGGUGUUGCAGUGGGGUUUCCGUCGUCCGUAUUCUGUCCAGGUCCGGGUAAUUCAGGUCAGUUUGCAAAAAUUUUAAAUAUCUUUUAAAUAAUUAUUUAUAUAUAUUUAUUUUUCUUUUCACAUAUAUAUACGUAUAAAAAUACUGAGCUACUGGGUGCAAAUCUGCCGCAAAUUCUUCUAAAAAACUAGGCCUGAGCUCAACCCUAACGUCGCGCACGCUUGGCGGUAAUUUUUGGCCAGCGGUCUGGUCCGAUUCUAAUCAAUGGUACUGUCAGUCCGUCUUGUCGUUCAGGGUCAAAAAUCUUUAUGGUCGAAACCUUUGGUAUACCUGCGCACCCCAGGAUUGGCAGUGCGGAGCCGAUGUUCCCAAAUGAAAGAUCCCACGUUGGAAGUCGGCAGAGGUGGCGUUGAAAUAUUUGUAUAACCUUUUUUUUUUGGUGUUUAAUUUAUAUAACUUAUAUUAUAUUGUUUGAUUUAAAUAAAGACUUUAAAAAUG